rnacentral:rRNA from 1 species
AAUGAACGCUGGCGGCAGGCCUAACACAUGCGAGUCGAACGGAUCCUUCGGGAUUAGUGGCGGACGGGUGAGUAACGCGUGGGAACAUACCCUUUGGUACGGAAUAGCCUCGGGAAACUGGGAGUAAUACCGUAUGUGGUCGAGAGACGAAAGAUUUAUCGCCAAAGGAUUGGCCCGCGUUGGAUUAGGUAGUUGGAGGGGUAAUGGCCUACCAAGCCGACGAUCCAUAGCUGGUUUGAGAGGAUGAUCAGCCACACUGGGACUGAGACACGGCCCAGACUCCUACGGGAGGCAGCAGUGGGGAAUCUUAGACAAUGGGGGAAACCCUGAUCUAGCCAUGCCGCGUGAUCGAUGAAGGCCUUAGGGUUGUAAAGAUCUUUCAGGUGGAAGAUAAUGACUGUACCACCAGAAGAAGCCCCGGCUAACUCCGUGCCAGCAGCCGCGGUAA